rnacentral:rRNA from 1 species
AUUGAACGCUGGCGGCAUGCCUUACACAUGCAAGUCGAACGGCAGCACGGGUGCUUGCACCUGGUGGCGAGUGGCGAACGGGUGAGUAAUACAUCGGAACGUAUCUUAUCGUGGGGGAUAACGCAGCGAAAGCUGUGCUAAUACCGCAUACGCCCUGAGGGGGAAAGCGGGGGAUCGCAAGACCUCGCGCGAUUAGAGCGGCCGAUGCCUGAUUAGCUUGUUGGUGGGGUAAAAGCCCACCGAGGCGACGAUCAGUAGCUGGUCUGAGAGGACGAUAGGCCACACGGGGACUGAGACACGGCCCAGACUCCUACGGGAGGCAGCAGUGGGGAAUUUUGGACAAUGGGGGCAACCCUGAUCCAGCAAUGCCGCGUGAGUGAAGAAGGCCUUCGGGUUGUAAAGCUCUUUUGUCAGGGAAGAAACACCGGCUCUAACACAGUCCGGGAAUGACGGUACCUGAAGAAUAAGCACCGGCUAACUACGUGCCAGCCGCCGCCGUAA